CAGAAUGUUAGUGCUUUCCAUCUAAAGGAGGGAGAGAAUGUCUUCCUCUUACCAAAAGGUAGAGGGCAGAUGCAGCCACCAAAAAAGGGUUGGGUGAAUAGACCUCAGGAACUGGGGUAUGGUCAGGGUUUCUCCCUCUAUGGCCCUCAGCCUUACGUGAAGCUCAUCUACAACCCAACUGCAACG